rnacentral:rRNA from 1 species
AGUUUGAUCCUGGCUCAGAUUGAACGCUGGCGGCAGGCCUAACACAUGCAAGUCGAGCGGUAGAGAGAAGCUUGCUUCUCUUGAGAGCGGCGGACGGGUGAGUAAAGCCUAGGAAUCUGCCUGGUAGUGGGGGAUAACGUUCGGAAACGGACGCUAAUACCGCAUACGUCCUACGGGAGAAAGCAGGGGACCUUCGGGCCUUGCGCUAUCAGAUGAGCCUAGGUCGGAUUAGCUAGUUGGUGAGGUAAUGGCUCACCAAGGCGACGAUCCGUAACUGGUCUGAGAGGAUGAUCAGUCACACUGGAACUGAGACACGGUCCAGACUCCUACGGGAGGCAGCAGUGGGGAAUAUUGGACAAUGGGCGAAAGCCUGAUCCAGCCAUGCCGCGUGUGUGAAGAAGGUCUUCGGAUUGUAAAGCACUUUAACGUUGGGAGGAAGGGCAUUAACCUAAUACGUUAGUGUUUUGACGUUACCGACAGAAUAAGCACCGGCUAACUCUGUGCCAGCAGCCGCGGUAAU